GGAUGAUUUGGCUGAUCUGGUGGCAAGUGUCCCCUUCCUCCCUCACUGCUCCACUUGCAUCCCUAUUGAAGUUAUGCUUUCUACUGAAGAGAACACUCGCCCCUGAUAGAGGAGGACCAUCUCCUCAGUCAAGGGUAGAGGAGUAACUGUGUACCCCUUGCUAGAACCUUCAAAGAAGUUCUCACUAAAAAAAUAUGGCAUGGGCAUCUGCUACCCUCCGAGUGAGCAACUGAGAAAGCCAUGUUUGUCCAAUCCUGUUAACCAAAAAAAAGGCAUUUGGAUGUACAAUUGCCAACUUU
rnacentral:snRNA from 1 species